GGCGAAUAUUUCUAGAUUUCUUCGAAAAAUCUCUUCUCGGCAGCGGCUCGGAGUUAUUUAAAAUGCGUUUCAGCGUAAACGACACAAUCUUGUUUUUGCGAUAAAGCCGCUAUAAUGUCUGAAAAGAGAAUGAAGACAAGAAACGCUUGAAAACAAGAGUAUUGUUUUUGGAAUAAUGCGCAUGCGCAGCGCUGCGCAAGCUUGGUGAUGCAUGGACCGGAGGUGUGCGCAUAGAAAGCUUUGCCACCGCUUUGCAUAAGUCAAGGAGCGUGGCAAACUUCAAGUUCGAACUUAAGAGUUUCUCAACCGUGACCCGAAGGCCACCCACAUCAAUGUUAAAAGUGCUGAUCCCUGUGCCGCUCAGUCCUGUGGAAUUAGAAUCUCAGUCCAGAGUCUGCACUUUCAAGUCCUGUAGAUCUCAGUCGCUGUCAUUUGAGUUGCUCCUCACAGUCCUGGCAAUCUCAAAUCUCCGGAUGCCUUGGUAGGAAAGUUCCGUCUGGCUGAUCAGAAUAGAGGCCAUUGUGAUCCUGUGAGAAAACGUUGAAAUCUUGGUGUGGAGGGGAGAAGAAUGCUCCAGAGAAAGACUGCAUAGGUGUUGUUCUGUGUGAGUCGGAGAAUCGUCUACGAUAGCUGCCAUUUUAGUUUUGAAUGAGUGAAUCUGAUCAGCCUACAGAAACCAAAGUAAAAUAAUAAAUAGAAAAGGGGUAGAUCAUAAAAUUGACUACUUAGCACAUCCAGUAGAAAUAGGCUGGGAAGGAUCUUCAAGACAGAUCUCUGGAAUUCCCCGUCAAGGGUCCCAGGCAGAGUGUACCCUCAAGUGAGGCUCCCAGGUAAAAGGACAAGCAACGUUUCAGAUGUGGCAUAAUCAAAUAUGGCUCUGAUCUCAUCAAGUAGAACCUGACUAAGGAAUUUGGAGCAGUGAGCAGGAGUUCCCAGUUGAGCCUUCUCCCUAUGAUUGUGACUCCCACGGCUGAACUCUUGACUUCUCUUUUCCCCUGUAGAUCUUUGAAUAGCAUGGGAUCUCUAUUGGAAACAGCUCACUUUCUAGCUCCUCUCAUGGAUACAAUGUUUGUACUCUUUGGUCUCUGUACUGGCUGGUUUCCUGUGUCAACUUGACACAUGCUAGAGUUAUCACAGAGAAAGGAGCCUCCCUUGAGGAAAUGCCUCCAUGAGAUCCAGCUGUAAGGCACAUUUUCUCAAUUAGUGAUCAAGUGGGGAGGGCCCAGCCUACUGUGUG
ensembl:lncRNA